AGUUUUUGGAAGAGGUAUUGCCGCCCUUUCUAGUCCCUAUUAGACUAGAAAGGGCGGCAAUACCUCUUCCAAAAAC
rnacentral:pre_miRNA from 1 species